GCGUGGGAAUCUGCCCAGAAGUUGGGGAUAGCCCGGGGAAACCCGGAUUAAUACCGAAUAUGUUCUACGGAACAAAGGAUGCCUCUACUUGUAAGCAUUCGCUUUUGGAUGAGCCCGCGUUGGAUUAGCUAGUUGGUAGGGUAAGAGCCUACCAAGGCGACGAUCCAUAGCUGGUCUGAGAGGAUGAUCAGCCACACUGGGACUGAGACACGGCCCAGACUCCUACGGGAGGCAGCAGUGGGGAAUAUUGCACAAUGGGCGAAAGCCUGAUGCAGCCAUGCCGCGUGUGUGAAGAAGGCC
rnacentral:rRNA from 1 species